rnacentral:lncRNA from 1 species
GUGAGAAACCUCCCCCCACCUCACACACGUGGCGCCAGGAGGGCCGCCAAGAAUCUGACUUGACUCUGGACAAAGAGGGUGCUUAAAUGGCCAGAGGAGACUCUGAAUAUUAUUAAUAUGCACACAAGACCGUUCCCGUGGCUCCCAGAAGGCUGCGGUCAGACGUUAUCUCCAAGGAGGAAAUUCUCCUUUAGACACUGGGGUCAGGUGAUGCCCAACAACAAAGGUCCGCUCUGUUAAGGGGACCACUGGCCAAUACGCCAUCCCAUACGGACUCCCAAUCAUCUCCCAGUGCAUCACACUUAGUCAUGAAUGCAGAGCCAAGGACCACUGGCCAAUACACCCACUCCCUACGGACUCCCAGUCAUCUCCCAGUGCAUCACACUUAGUCAUGAAUGCAGAGCCAAGGACCACUGGCCAAUACACCCACUCCCUACGGACUCCCAGUCAUCUCCCAGUGCAUCACACUUAGUCAUGAAUGCAGAGACAAGGACCACUGGCCAAUACGCCCACUCCCUACGGACUCCCAGUCAUCUCCCAGUGCAUCACACUUAGUCAUGAAUGCAGAGGCAAGGACCACUGGCCAAUACGCCCACUCCCUACGGACUCCCAGUCAUCUCCCAGUGCAUCACACUUAGUCAUGAAUGCAGAGGCAAGGAUCAGGAGGCACUGGGGACAGAGUUUUCAUGUGAGUGGAACAAAAUCAGUCUGACAGAUUAAAGGAAACACAAAAGAAGAGAGAGAGUGCAGAAACAGAAAAAGUUAUAUUCGGAACCCUAUUUCUAAGUAUCUUUGAAGAUACAAGACCUACAGCAAGAAAAAGAUAGCAAGGAGAAGCAGCUCUUUCGUAAUGCAUAUAUAGGUGGUAAAAUUAUAAACACAGCUAAGACAUGAUGACACUAAAGGCAGAAAAGUGUUUGACUCCUGGGGGUACUGGGGUAGGGGCAUGAGGAAGAGUGUGGUGACUGGAGAGGGACACCUGGG